rnacentral:rRNA from 1 species
CGAGAAUUUUUCUCAAUGGGCGGAAGCCUGAAGGAGCGACGCCGCGUGGGGGAUGAAGGGCUUCGGUCCGUAAACCCCUGUCAUUUGCGAACAAACCUUAUGAUUGAACAUUUCAUGAGCUGAUUGUAGCGAAAGAGGAAGGGACGGCUAACUCUGUGCCAGCAGCCGCGGUAAUACAGAGGUCCCAAGCGUUGUUCGGAUUCACUGGGCGUAAAGGGUGCGCAGGUGGGCUGAUAAGUUCGAUGUGAAAGCCCCGGGCUUAACCCGGGAAUGGCAUUGGAAACUGUUGGUCUGGAGGGUUGGAGGGGGGACUGGAAUUCUUGGUGUAGCAGUGAAAUGCGUAGAUAUCAAGAGGAACACCAGUGGCGAAGGCGAGUCCCUGGACAAACCCUGACACUGAGGCACGAAAGCCAAGGGAGCAAAC